GAUGAACGCUGGCGGCGUGCCUAACACAUGCAAGUCGAGCGAGAAGUUUGAAAAAUGAGUUUUCGGACAAGUGAUUCAAACGGAAAGCGGCGGACGGGUGAGUAACGCGUAGGCAACCUGCCCCGUGCAGAGGGACAGCCUCGGGAAACCGGGAUUAAGACCUCAUGAUAUCGGGUUAUCACAUGGUAAUCCGGUCAAAGAGUUAUCGGGUUGGGAUGGGCCUGCGUCUGAUUAGCUGGUUGGUGGGGUAACGGCCUACCAAGGCGACGAUCAGUAGCAGAACUGAGAGGUUCAUCUGCCACAUUGGAACUGAGACACGGUCCAAACUCCUACGGGAGGCAGCAGUGAGGAAUAUUGCACAAUGGGCGAAAGCCUGAUGCAGCAACGCCGCGUGAGCGAAGAAGGCCUUUGGGUCGUAAAGCUCUGUCCUUGGGGAAGAAACAAAUGACGGUACCCUUGGAGGAAGCCCCGGCUAACUACGUGCCAGCAGCCGCAGUAA
rnacentral:rRNA from 1 species